UUGCAAUAAGUUUGAGAAUAGCAAGCCGUUCGCAUUCAUUCAAUCGAUCGACGUCGUUACAGAAGCACACACCUUUCAAUACACAUUUGUAGAGCGAAACAACUGUAAGGAAAAUAUUAUUUUAAUCACCAUUUGACGAGUAUGGCAUGGUCUCAGAGAUUGUAUUCGUGCUAUUUACAACGGCGAUGCGCCGAAGAACUAGUGCAUGCUCUAUAUUACAGUUGAAAAGUGUAUAUGACAAGAUGAUUAACGUUUGCUUUUGUUAAAUCAGGGCUUCCCCAGCCAGGACUUCGGCUCAGACUGUGGCAUGUUCAUGUUGAUGGUAGGUCAUAACGAGCUGUGAUGCACAAAUAUUGUAGUAUCUAGAAUAACUUUCCAACAUGGACUUUUUCUCACAUGUUGUCUCAUAUUUUUUUUUAAGUCUGCCAUGUACAUUGUUAUGGAGUCACAGUUUGACUACUCAGUUGUAAGUACUUUUCAACAUGCAGUGUCAUCCUCAAGGUUGUAUUUUGUAUUGUGCACUAAAAUGAAAUACAAACAACAAUUUCAGCAUGACAUGCCUGUUUUGCGGAGAUGGUGGUGCCUGUUGCUCUUAGAAAACAAUUCUUUGAACGGGUAGACAGUUUAAGUAAACUAGAUGCCCUAUUGAACUGGAAGACAAUCAAUAUAUUGUACUUAAAGAUAUAUUGUCAUUACAGAUAUGGGGAAAAUCUUUGCCCACUGGACCAAAGAAUGUCAGGAGCUUAUUGCUGGAAAGCAUACUCCGGUCUUAAGUCUAAAGAGGAUGGCAGAGCAGCAGGACACAGAGG
rnacentral:lncRNA from 1 species